rnacentral:rRNA from 1 species
GGUUAAGCGACUAAGCGUACACGGUGGAUGCCCUGGCAGUCAGAGGCGAUGAAGGACGUGCUAAUCUGCGAAAAGCGUCGGUAAGGUGAUAUGAACCGUUACAGCCGGCGAUGUCCGAAUGGGGAAACCCAGUGCAAUUCGUUGCACUAUCGUUAACUGAAUACAUAGGUUAACGAGGCGAACCGGGGGAACUGAAACAUCUAAGUACCCCGAGGAAAAGAAAUCAACCGAGAUUCCCCCAGUAGCGGCGAGCGAACGGGGAGCAGCCCAGAGUCUGAAUCAGCUUGUGUGUUAGUGGAACGGUCUGGAAAGUCCGACGGUACAGGGUGAUAGUCCCGUACACCAAAAUGCACAGGCUGUGAACUCGAAGAGUAGGGCGGGACACGUGGUAUCCUGUCUGAAUAUGGGGGGACCAUCCUCCAAGGCUAAAUACUCCUGACUGACCGAUAGUGAACCAGUACCGUGAGGGAAAGGCGAAAAGAACCCCGGCGAGGGGAGUGAAAAAGAACCUGAAACCGUGUACGUACAAGCAGUGGGAGCACCUUCGGGUGUGACUGCGUACCUUUUGUAUAAUGGGUCAGCGACUUAUAUUCUGUAGCAAGGUUAACCGUAUAGGGGAGCCGCAGGGAAACCGAGUCUUAACUGGGCGUUAAGUUGCAGGGUAUAGACCCGAAACCCGGUGAUCUAGCCAUGGGCAGGUUGAAGGUUGGGUAACACUAACUGGAGGACCGAACCGACUAAUGUUGAAAAAUUAGCGGAUGACUUGUGGCUGGGGGUGAAAGGCCAAUCAAACCGGGAGAUAGCUGGUUCUCCCCGAAAGCUAUUUAGGUAGCGCCUCGUGAAUUCAUCUUCGGGGGUAGAGCACUGUUUCGGCUAGGGGGUCAUCCCGACUUACCAACCCGAUGCAAACUACGAAUACCGAAGAAUGUUAUCACGGGAGACACACGGCGGGUGCUAACGUCCGUCGUGAAGAGGGAAACAACCCAGACCGCCAGCUAAGGUCCCAAAGUCAUGGUUAAGUGGGAAACGAUGUGGGAAGGCACAGACAGCCAGGAUGUUGGCUUAGAAGCAGCCAUCAUUUAAAGAAAGCGUAAUAGCUCACUGGUCGAGUCGGCCUGCGCGGAAGAUGUAACGGGGCUAAACCAUGCACCGAAGCUGCGGCAGCGACACUAUGUGUUGUUGGGUAGGGGAGCGUUCUGUAAGCCUGCGAAGGUGACCUGUGAGGGUUGCUGGAGGUAUCAGAAGUGCGAAUGCUGACAUAAGUAACGAUAAAGCGGGUGAAAAGCCCGCUCGCCGGAAGACCAAGGGUUCCUGUCCAACGUUAAUCGGGGCAGGGUGAGUCGACCCCUAAGGCGAGGCCGAAAGGCGUAGUCGAUGGGAAACAGGUUAAUAUUCCUGUACUUGGUGUUACUGCGAAGGGGGGACGGAGAAGGCUAUGUUAGCCGGGCGACGGUUGUCCCGGUUUAAGCAUGUAGGCUGAUUGUCCAGGCAAAUCCGGAUAAUCAAGGCUGAGGUGUGAUGACGAGGCACUACGGUGCUGAAGUAACAAAUGCCCUGCUUCCAGGAAAAGCCUCUAAGCAUCAGGUAACAUCAAAUCGUACCCCAAACCGACACAGGUGGUCAGGUAGAGAAUACCAAGGCGCUUGAGAGAACUCGGGUGAAGGAACUAGGCAAAAUGGUGCCGUAACUUCGGGAGAAGGCACGCUGGUGUGUAGGUGAAGUCCCUGCGGAUGGAGCUGAGACCAGUCGAAGAUACCAGCUGGCUGCAACUGUUUAUUAAAAACACAGCACUGUGCAAACACGAAAGUGGACGUAUACGGUGUGACGCCUGCCCGGUGCCGGAAGGUUAAUUGAUGGGGUUAUCCGUAAGGAGAAGCUCUUGAUCGAAGCCCCGGUAAACGGCGGCCGUAACUAUAACGGUCCUAAGGUAGCGAAAUUCCUUGUCGGGUAAGUUCCGACCUGCACGAAUGGCGUAAUGAUGGCCAGGCUGUCUCCACCCGAGACUCAGUGAAAUUGAACUCGCUGUGAAGAUGCAGUGUACCCGCGGCAAGACGGAAAGACCCCGUGAACCUUUACUAUAGCUUGACACUGAACAUUGAGCCUUGAUGUGUAGGAUAGGUGGGAGGCUUUGAAGCGUGGACGCCAGUCUGCGUGGAGCCAACCUUGAAAUACCACCCUUUAAUGUUUGAUGUUCUAACGUUGGCCCCUUACCGGGGUUGCGGACAGUGUCUGGUGGGUAGUUUGACUGGGGCGGUCUCCUCCCAAAGCGUAACGGAGGAGCACGAAGGUUAGCUAAUCCUGGUCGGACAUCAGGAGGUUAGUGCAAUGGCAUAAGCUAGCUUGACUGCGAGCGUGACGGCGCGAGCAGGUGCGAAAGCAGGUCAUAGUGAUCCGGUGGUUCUGAAUGGAAGGGCCAUCGCUCAACGGAUAAAAGGUACUCCGGGGAUAACAGGCUGAUACCGCCCAAGAGUUCAUAUCGACGGCGGUGUUUGGCACCUCGAUGUCGGCUCAUCACAUCCUGGGGCUGAAGUAGGUCCCAAGGGUAUGGCUGUUCGCCAUUUAAAGUGGUACGCGAGCUGGGUUUAGAACGUCGUGAGACAGUUCGGUCCCUAUCUGCCGUGGGCGCUGGAGAAUUGAGGGGGGCUGCUCCUAGUACGAGAGGACCGGAGUGGACGCAUCACUGGUGUUCGGGUUGUCAUGCCAAUGGCACUGCCCGGUAGCUAAAUGCGGAAGAGAUAAGUGCUGAAAGCAUCUAAGCACGAAACUUGCCCCGAGAUGAGUUCUCCCUGAGACUUUAAGUCUCCUGAAGGAACGUUAAAGACGAUGACGUUGAUAGGCCGGGUGUGUAAGCGCAGCGAUGCGUUGAGCUAACCGGUACUAAUGAACCGUGAGGCUUAACCUU